rnacentral:rRNA from 1 species
AACGAACGCUGGCGGCAUGCCUAACACAUGCAAGUCGAACGAGAUCUUCGGGUCUAGUGGCGCACGGGUGCGUAACGCGUGGGAAUCUGCCCUUUGGUUCGGAAUAACAGUUGGAAACGACUGCUAAUACCGGAUGAUGACGAAAGUCCAAAGAUUUAUCGCCAGAGGAUGAGCCCGCGUAGGAUUAGCUAGUUGGUGUGGUAAAGGCGCACCAAGGCGACGAUCCUUAGCUGGUCUGAGAGGAUGAUCAGCCACACUGGGACUGAGACAAGGCCAAGACUCCUACGGGAGGCAGCAGUGGGGAAUAUUGGACAAUGGGCGAAAGCCUGAUCCAGCAAUGCCGCGUGAGUGAUGAAGGCCUAAGGGUUGUAAAGCUCUUUUACCCGGGAUGAUAAUGACAGUACCGGGAGAAUAAGCUCCGGCUAACUCCGUGCCAGCAGCCGCCGUAA